CAGGGCCCCCAGGGCCCCCAGGGCCCCCCGCACCAGGGGGCUCGCCGCGCAACCCCUUCCCCCUGGCCGCGCCGCACGGCUUCAGGUUCCGGAGACGUGGCACAGACACUGGAAUAGAAAAGGACGAGAGGAGAGAUCGACCGUUCCGCAGAAACGCUGGUAGUAACAGUAUGAUUCCUGUCAUAGAAUGAAGUCAGCAUUUUCAUGCCAGGUCCAGCACUUUUAUUUUCUGACUGUCGCUGUCAAACUUUAUUAAAGAUUUUGUUAGAAAUUUGUAA